GACGAACGCUGGCGGCGUGCCUAAUACAUGCAAGUAGAACGCUGAAGGAGUAGCUUGCUUCUCUGGAUGAGUUGCGAACGGGUGAGUAACGCGUAGGUAACCUGCCUGGUAGCGGGGGAUAACUAUUGGAAACGAUAGCUAAUACCGCAUAAGAGUAGAUGUUGCAUGACAUUUGCUUAAAAGGUGCACUUUCAUCACUACCAGAUGGACCUGCGUUGUAUUAGCUUGUUGGUGGGGGAACGGCUCACCAAGGCGACGAUACAUAGCCGACCUGGGAGGGUGACCGGCCACAAUGGGACUGAGACAAGGCCCAGACUCCUACGGGAAGCAGCAGGAGGGAAACAUCGGAAAUGGACGGAAGGCUGAACGAGCAAAGCCGCGUGAGGGAAGAAGGGUUUCGGAUCGUAAAGCUCUGUUGUAAGAGAAGAAAGAGUGUGAGAGUGGAAAGUUCACACUGUGACGGUAUCUUACCAGAAAGGGACGGCUAACUACGUG
rnacentral:rRNA from 1 species